GCAGGAUCAUAAAUAAAAAAGAUGGGAUUAUUAUGAUGAAAGUGUAUGCUGACAUUGUAAUAAUCUUGUCUAUGUUCUAAAUACAAAAUACCUUCACGAGGUUUAGAAUGAGUGAUAUAAGGAAGUUAUAUUGUCUAAAUUUAUGUAUGUGGUAAAGGGUUGAUUGAUUGUAAAGGCGUGGGCGGUUAGGUGUAGAGAAGAAUAUUUAGAUAUAAUCUAUGUGGGUUUAAAUUAGUUUAAUGUUUAUGAGGCUAAAGAUAUUUACUUAUAACAACACACUAAACUCAUCUA
rnacentral:misc_RNA from 1 species